GUCAUAUGCUUGUCUCAAAGAUUAAGCCAUGCAUGUCUCAGUACAAGCCAAAUUAAGGUGAAACCGCGAAAGGCUCAUUAAAUCAGUUAUGGUUCCUUAGAUCGUACCCACAAUUACUUGGAUAACUGUGGUAAUUCUAGAGCUAAUACAUGCAAACAGAGCUCCGACCGGAGACGGAAGGAGUGCUUUUAUUAGAUCAAAACCAAUCGGUGGCGAGUUCGCUCGUUAUCGUACAACUUGGUGACUCUGAAUAACUUUACGCUGAUCGCACGGUCAUCGCACCGGCGACGCAUCUUUCAAAUGUCUGCCUUAUCAACUGUCGAUGGUAGGUUCUGCGCCUACCAUGGUUGUAACGGGUAACGGGGAAUCAGGGUUCGAUUCCGGAGAGGGAGCCUGAGAAACGGCUACCACAUCCAAGGAAGGCAGCAGGCGCGCAAAUUACCCACUCCCGGCACGGGGAGGUAGUGACGAAAAAUAACGAUACGGGACUCAUCCGAGGCCCCGUAAUCGGAAUGAGUACACUCUAAACCCUUUAACGAGGAUCAAUUGGAGGGCAAGUCUGGUGCCAGCAGCCGCGGUAAUUCCAGCUCCAAUAGCGUAUAUUAAAGUUGUUGCGGUUAAAAAGCUCGUAGUCGAAUUUGUGUCUCGCGCCGCCGGUUCAUCGUCCGCGGUGUUAACUGGCGAGUCGCGAGACGUCCUGCCGGUGGGCUUAGCUCGCGAGGGCGGCCCAACUCAAUCCUGCCGCGGUGCUCUUCAUUGAGUGUCGAGGUGGGCCGGCACGUUUACUUUGAACAAAUUAGAGUGCUUAAAGCAGGCUAAAACUUCGCCUGAAUACUGUGUGCAUGGAAUAAUGGAAUAGGACCUCGGUUCUAUUUUGUUGGUUUUCGGAACCCCGAGGUAAUGAUUAAUAGGAACGGAUGGGGGCAUUCGUAUUGCGACGUUAGAGGUGAAAUUCUUGGAUCGUCGC
rnacentral:rRNA from 3 species